rnacentral:rRNA from 1 species
UACAGAGGUCUCAAGCGUUGUUCGGAUUCAUUGGGCGUAAAGGGUGCGUAGGUGGCGUGGUAAGUCGGGUGUGAAAUCUCGGAGCUUAACUCCGAAAUUGCAUUCGAUACUGCCGUGCUUGAGGACUGGAGAGGAGACUGGAAUUCAUGGUGUAGCAGUGAAAUGCGUAGAGAUCGUAAGGAAGACCAGUGGCGAAGGCGAGUCUCUGGACAGUUACUGACGCUGAGGCACGAAGGCCAGGGGAGCAAACGGG